rnacentral:rRNA from 1 species
GACGUAGGGCGCGAGCGUUGUCCGGAUUUAUUGGGCGUAAAGAGCUCGUAGGCGGCUUGUCGCGUCGACUGUGAAAACCCGCGGCUCAACCCCGGACUUGCAGUGGGUACGGGCAGACUAGAGUGUGGUAGGGGAGACUGGAAUUCCUGGUGUAGCGGUGAAAUGCGCAGAUAUCAGGAGGAACACCGAUGGCGGAAGGCAGGUCUCUGGGCCACUACUGACGC